rnacentral:rRNA from 1 species
UAAUACAGAGGUCUCAAGCGUUGUUCGGAUUCAUUGGGCGUAAAGGGUGCGUAGGUGGCGCCGUAAGUCAGGUGUGAAAUUUCGGAGCUUAACUCCGAAACUGCAUUUGAUACUGCGGUGCUUGAGGACUGGAGAGGAGACUGGAAUUUACGGUGUAGCAGUGAAAUGCGUAGAGAUCGUAAGGAAGACCAGUGGCGAAGGCGGGUCUCUGGACAGUUCCUGACACUGAGGCACGAAGGCCAGGGGAGCAAACGGGAUUAGAUACCCCGGUAGUCCUGGCAGUAAACGGUGCACGUUUGGUGUGGGAGGAUUCGACCCCUUCUGCGCCGGAGCUAACGCGUUAAACGUGCCGCCUGGGGAGUACGGUCGCAAGAUUA